rfam:Populus trichocarpa isolate Nisqually-1 chromosome 13, whole genome shotgun sequence.
UAAUCUAAUUAUAUCAAAUCCUUAUCUAUUUAUGACAGAUUCAUACCUGACUACUUAGAAUCACUUGUUAUUGCAAGCUCAUCUACAUCAGACUUUAUGGGUUGGAGAGAACUAAUCCUCAAGUUAUGUCCUCCUCUUAGUAA